CUGGGAUUACAGGCGUGAGCCACCACGCAUGGCUGAGAAAAUAACUUUUUGAGGCUGGAAAAGGGUGACCUGUGUUAUGUAGUAGGGGAAUAACUGGCAAAUAUGUCACCUGCAGUAACUGGAAGAUAGGAAAUGCCAUGUUCCUAAUGAAUUCCUGUGUCUGGCUAAGGAGAUCUCUAGACAAAAUGUUGAAAAGGCCAGUUGGGCAGUUCUGUGUAGGUAUGACAAUAUGCACAAUACUAUAAAGAAGCUAUAGAGAGAACUGUUUGAUUUGUAAACAAAAUUUUGAGAAAAUAAAGAAGAGAUAGUACUUGCUGGGUUGAAAAUAAAACUGUUUCUCAUUUACCACAUUUUCAGUCUCUCCAACUGACAAAAGGUUCUUAAAAGUAAGAAAUAGCCUCAGGGUAAAGAAACAUAAAAUCAAAGUUGUGGCUAGGGGACUUCUGAUACCUCAGAAAGAUUUAAUGUCAUGCCAGACCCUCUUAGAAGACAAAAGGGCUUCUAAAACUCUUAAGAGUGUCUUCCCAAAGCAAUCCAACAGACCAAAAUUUGAAAGAAGUCUGUCUCAAAAAUAAGUAUGUUUAUGAAAUUUGGGGCAUAGAGUGAAUCCCACAAAGUUGUAAGAGAGUCAUAUGAAUGAAAGCAUGGCCCAAUUGGACUAAAAAGGCAAAAACAUUUGAAAAGAAGCUUCCAGAACCCCAAAUUUUUAUGUAACGAGAGUAGUCUAAGAAAGCUACUUAGCUACAGACAUGGUCCAUUUCCUGUUGAAAGAUGUCUCAGAAGGUGGAGCUAAGCAUAGAGAACAACGGAUUAGAGAAUGACUUCCAUGGAGCAGAAUGAAGCUCAAAUCUGUGUUCCUACAGAAUGGGAGACCCCAACGACAGCUGAUGACUGGGUUUGGAAUUACUGUAGAGCAGUGUGGUUGCUAUGUAACUCCUUAUUCUGUGCCUUUGGAAUGGGAGUGUCUGUUGGGAAUUUCCUGCCCUGUGUCUUCUGUUUAACUUGUGUUUGUGAGAGGCAGAUAACUUGGCUAUUCAGUUCUCAGGUCCCUGGACCAUGAAGGGCCACAUCCAAGGAGCUACCCCAGGAGGCCUCUCAUUUGCAUUUGUCCCCGCUAAUGCAGGACAGAGAUCAUGGAAGUUGGGCCCGACUGGAUGAGAUUUGGGGGUCUUUGGAAGUGGAGAAUGUGUUUGCCCUGGGGAAGAGAGGUGAUGUCUAGGAGACCUCUUCACUCAGGGCAAGCUCUAUGACCUGCUUUGACUCCAGAAUGUGGUAGAAGUGGCAUCACAUAAAUUGCAGAGCCUAGGCUUCAAGAGACCUUGCAACUUGCCUCUCACUGACUUGAAGUGCUCCCAUCAGAGCAUCUUGUAAGGAGCAGGUGGAGCAUGUGGACAAGCCAUCCCCACCAGCCCCUGAGACAUGUGAGAGAGGCCAGAACAGGCCAUCCGGACCCCACUGUGCUGGUGGAUGAGACAGCAGAAGGAAUAUCAACCUACCAACAGAAUCCUGAGAAAUGCUCACUCUUACUUCAAGCUGCUGCAUUUUGAUGUUAUGAAACCAUAAAUAACUUAUGAAGUCAUCUUUGCUGACUUAAAGUUUUCCAUAACUUUAUUAUAACAUAUCAAAAUUAUGAAAAAUGUGAAAAGUAGAAAACUGAUGAAUUUUGCUUCUUCAUAUGGUCUUUAAGAAUCUCAAAGGCACUGAAGUUUUUUAUCUUUUCUGUCUUAGAAUAAAAAACCUUGAAUGAAAAUCUGCUUCUUGGAAAAGCAGCAAGGUUUAUGCAGAGGCAAUCUGGUAUUUGUGUGCACUGGCAGCUGAUCAUACCCAGCAUGCACGCACUCUCAGGGCAGAGUCUGAUGCCCCACAUAAUGGGGCAUGGUAAGGACUCCCAUGUCCUUGAGAUAAAAUGAUAAGGAAAAUACACACUGCUAUUAGAAUAACAGGCCCAGCUUCUGCACAUUUUAAUUCCCAAAGUUUUCAUGAAAGACAAUGAUUUUUUGGUACCAUGUUUAACUCUACAAGAAUCAGUAGUGAAAACUAAAAAUGAUACUUUGUGAAAGUUCAUUAAUUUUGUUUUCAGCCAGUGGUGGCCUUGGUCAGAUAGAAUCAAAUCUAUGAUACUUUUUAUCAGAAAUGCUUAUACUGUGUACAAACCCAAAGUGAUGGCUUUCAAAGAUUGAAUUUGAUUAUUUUCUGUAUGGUGCAGAUGAAAAAUUACUACACAGGAGAAGGUGGGUUGGAGGUGCUCACGAGUAACCAGGAAACAGUCUGAAGUUUUUCUGAUACUUCUCCUUGGUCCAACCAAAUGUGAGAUAUAAACACAAACUUGGGAUUCCGUUCUUAUGUUUUGGUUGUUUCAGUCUUUACAGAUGUAUCGAAAGGCUGUCCAAAAAUGUCUGACUUCUGUAGUGUGCCUUCGUAGCACUAGAGGGUUCUGCAGCUGUGAAACUGAAGGCAUUGGCAAGAAGCCCUCCAUCUUCAAACCACUUUCUGCUAAGGUGUGGCUCUAUAAAACCACUAUGAGCUGGGCUUCACUGAGACUGAGUUGUUUCAGUAGGAUCUUCCGGAAAAACAUGUUCCCUCCUUUACCUGGGUUGUCAUUCUGAGAACAAUCACACCUCCAAUUUUGGCUUACUAAGCAAUAGCGUUUUAAUGAUUUUAAGCCAGGAUUUGCUCCUCCUUUCCUCAGUAUGAGAGCUUAACCACUGGAGGAACCAAGAAUUCAUGCUGGUUGGGUUCUGAUUCCACUUUAACUUACUGUAUAGCCUCAUCCCUUGUUUUUCUGGAGAUUCUCUUUUUCUGCUUCACUGAUUUAUAUUUACAUUAAAAUCAAAUGAGGCCAUGUUUCUGAAAUCACAUUGUCCCUACAUGGUCAUUACAAUGAGUCUGUAAUGUGACUGAAAGACAGCCAUGGAUACAGGUAGAGGAUAUCAGGCAAUUGAAUGCUCAUCAAGCAUUCAAUUCAGGGCAAAUGGCAUAAGGUAUGCAGUUGGCCUCUUCUGAUAUCUGUGUCUUAAUCCUUUCUUUAGCCUCUGUUUUCUGGACCAAGGCUAAGAUAUUUUCUGGGCACAGUGGCUCAUGCCUAUAAUCCCAGCACUCUGGGAGGCCAAGGUGGGAGGAUUUCUUCAGCCCAGGAGUUCGAGACCAGCCUGGGGAACAUAGGAGACCUCAUUCCUACAAAUAAUAAAAAAAAUUAGCCAGCUCUGGUGGCGUGUGCUUAUUGGUCUCAGCUACUUGGGAGGCUGAGGUGGGAGGACUGCUUGAGCCCAGAAGAUCGCAGCUGCAUUGAGCCAUGAUUGUGCCACUGAACCCUAGCCUGAGCAACAGAGCAAGGCCUUAUCUCAAAAAAAAAAAAAAAUUCUGAGCCUUCUAAUUUUUUUUUUCUUUAAUUAACUUUCUGUAAGCCCAGCAAGUAAAUAAAACACUUAUUUUAUGAAGCAUCUAGUUGCUUUUAGGGGAAGGGACAUCCUCCGCAUAGUAUCUAGGCCAGCUCACUUUCUUCUCCUUACUGUUGAUUUACUCUCUGCCAUUGAAUCUUCUGUGCCAAUGUUGGAUUAAUGUUUCCGGGCCCUACUUUCAUCAUGCUCCUCUGUAUUAUCACCUGUUUUGGUUUACAGCAAUGAUUUUUAAGGUAAGGCAUGGUGUGUCCAUCAUAGUCACAUGGGAACUUUUUCAAGCCAUAUUAAAAAUGUCCCCCAUUCAUCAUUCUGCCCCUGGAACAGUGUGUGCAGUUGGGACCUUCAAGUAAAUCUACUUUGUUGAAACCCACUGAUCAGCAUGGUGUAUUUCAUAACUCUUUGACUUACAUUCAAGAAAUUCCUUAACCUGAACUCCAUUUUACUCUUUUUUUCAUUCAUUCAAAUUAAGAAUAUUGCCUGAACAUGAAUUAUCUGCUAGACGUUUUUCUAGGUGCAGGAGGAGUAAGGAUGAACAUAACUAGCCAUAACUAUAGCUAUCAAUUGUGGAGUGUCUGUUAUGUGCCAGGCACUUUUAAGUGACCUACUCGAUUUACUUGCAUGACAAACUGUGAGGAAAAGCCCAAUAUUAUCCCCUAUUAACAGAUGAGGAAACUGAAGCACAAACAGCAUGAAUAGUUUGUUCCAGAUUGCAUCAUAAGAGGCACAGCCAGCUUUCCUACCAAAGCAGCCCUGGCCCAGAGUCCGUACUCCCUCCUCCCCUGCCUCUGCCUGGUGGAUAAGGUCACCCUGGCCUUGUGGAACUUAUGCUCUAGUGGGGACAAAUAGUUAUAGAGAAUGACCGAUGUUACUAAGAAAAUAAAAGCUGGUAAGAAAACAGAAGCACUGAGGAGGUGACUGAAGUGAGCAUUUAUAAUUUUAUGUUAUAUCCAUUGUAAAAUAUAAGUUUAGCUUUCUCAUACCAGAAGCAGGGCUCAGUCCACCCUUGACUCAGUUUCCAAUACUGUUCCCCAUCAGAAUGGCUCUUGCUGGUGGCCAGAAGUAAAACUUAGAAAUAUCUCUCUCAGAGACACCUAAGCAGGCUGGGCUCCCCGGUUUCCUGUUGCUUCCUUUAAAGAAGCUCUUCAGACAUCUGCACAAGAACUCAAAGUGACCACCUCUCAGCCCAGCAUGACCUACUGGAACUAAUGCCUGCUUGCUUUCAACCUACCAAUUAAAGCUCCCCAGGAAACCUGUUUAGAUAACACCCUGGACCCAAGAAAGGUGCUGGGCCAUGGGUUUCUUCUCUCUCUCCCUAUCUGUGCUCCCUGACCCCCUGUGUGUGUGUGGUCUCUAGGCUUGCCUUCUAUCCCUGAGGGUCUGUAAAUACUAAAAACACUUAAACUUUCAUAUUGUAGUUGUGUCUUUGAAGCCAGGUCCCCAUCCCGUACCUUGAGGGCAAGGCCUCCUGGAAGGGACCCAUGUAGGUGGAUCCCCUGCUGUCCAGGCCUCUUAGCUGCUGGGGUAGUGACCAGUUAAGUGGAUAGAGUUUCAUUCAAAACAAUAAUCAUUCAACUGUAUCUCACAUCAAACCUCUGCUCUAGUUUAUGUAUCUACUUUAUGUUCUUAGAAGACUGUGCAAACACAUUGUCUUUUUUGAGUACCUGUCUUGUCCUAGGUACUCUGCUUGGUACGGGGAGAGACGAAUCUUCUGUCUUCAGGGGCUUCCACUCCAGCAGGGAGAACAUGACUAAUAGUGACUGCCUGCUGCUGUAGGUAAUAAGUGGCUCCCACUAGGCCCUCCAUUUGGUGGCCCCCUGUCCCUCUCACUGGUGGAAGCCUACCUGUCCUCUAAGGACCAGCUCACUAAUGUCCUAGAUCCUCACGGACCAGAUUGCUUUUCUCAGAACUGAAGAGCACUUACUAAUGGCACCUCUUGUCAUAUGCCAUCCCAGGAUUUGAAUUUUUUUUUUUUUUCUGUCUUGUGGCCCAAAUAAAUCCUGAACUCCUCGAGGGCUGGGAGUGUAUCUAGCAGUUUCCUUAUACUGGACUAAUCAGAUGCUGACUAGGUAGCAGUGAGAAAAAUCUAGAAAUUCCCUUUUAGCCACAUCGACUUACACGAGGGGAUGUGUGUAAGGUACUAUAGCUCUUUAAACAAGAGGUGGUCUCGUUUGAAGGGUGGAUUGAUGUGGGUGUUCAAAUGAUGUCACAAGUGGCUGGUUUCUCUGUCUCCAUUUCUUUUUUUUUUGGCUCCAUUUCCAAAUUUCCCAGAUAGCACAGCAAGUUGGCCCCAGCAGCUCUAGACACUCCAUCUUCUCAGGGCAUAGCCAACACAAUAAAAUAUUUCAAGUUCCUGAAAGAUAGCUGAAAUAAGCCCUAGAAGUUUCUGGAUUGGGAGCAGAGCCAAACCUGCCAGCUCACAUAGAUGAGGGCAGGGAAUAGGGUGUCUCACGAUCACAGUGUCCUGCCUUCUGAUUUGCCUGGGACUGUCCUGUUUUGGCACCAAAAAUAUCUGCAUCCUAGGAAACCCUCAGGUCCUGGGCAAAUUCAGACAGUGACUUGCCCUAUCAGAAGCAAAGCAAGGUGCCAUUACCUGAGGUGGGCAAAUUCAGACAGUGACUUGCCCUAUCAGAAGCAAAGCAAGGUUGCCAUUACCUGAGGUGGGCAAAUGGAGGCUGGGUGGCCAGUGAGUGACCAAUAACCCCAGCAUUGGAGAGAGUGGAGCAGCCCUUCAAGAAGUUCCAACCUCUGCCCAGGACUGGUUUUACCAACUUCACUAGGCUUAGAAUCGUAGGAAGUCUAUUUGGGACUUGCGAGUCUCACGUAUUCCUGCCUAAAUGUUUAUGGAUACCUGUUUAGAGCUGAAAUCUUUUCAGCUCCCAUAAUAUGAGGGAAUUAGGUCUCAAAGAAGAUCAUGUAUUUUGAUCAGACCUUAUAGCUGAGCAGUGGAAAGAAAAAAAAUCAGUGUGAGAUCUCCCAGGGUUCCGCAGGAGUGGCUUCCUUAGUCCAACUGGCAGCCUAUCCUGGAAUAUUGCCUGGGAGAGAGGUUAGUUGCUUUUCCUGGUGCUAGGAACUGAAUGGUUUUACAUAUUGAUCAAUGAAAAUACUUAUUUGGCCUACAAUAGGUGCAAAAAUACUGCUAAUUACUAACAGUAUCUCUUCUUUGCUGCGUGCCAGACACUCCACUGGGCAUUAUGCAGUUAAUAUGUACCAUGAAUUUCCCGUGGUUAGCAAUGAUGUCAGGCAUAGAAAAGACAUGAAAUUAUGAUGUCAAAUGAAUAAACUGGAAAAAGGAAUUUCUUGAAUUUUCUCCAGCUGUCCUAAGAAUGUAUCUAUACUUUGAUCCUGGCCUACCUUUUCAACAUCUAAACUUUAUUCCCCCAAGCUUCUAGAUAUUCAAAGUUAAGUAUUAAAUAAAAUCAGUAAAUAUAUACAAGCUUGUUUGGCCAUUCUGAAUAAGGUUAUAUUUCCACCACACAAUCUCCAAAUUCUCUAGCAGAAGGGAUCAGUAUGUUAUAGAUACCCCCUUUCCUUCCCUCCCUGGCAAGCCACCACAUCUGUUAUGGGUACUCAAUGCAGUGGCUGCACCUGGGCCUCACUCAUUAAGCAGUUGUUGAUUGAGUGACUGAAUUGAAUGCCUGAUGAGCUCGCAAGUAAGAUUCAGACUGUGCCUGCAAACUAAUAGGAUCCCUCCGCUUUUUAUUCACUACUGCUGAGGUAGAUCUCAGGCCAGCCUGAAGUUUAGGUCUACUGAGAAAUAAUAAGCCUCAAAAAUCGAGCUUUGCUUCACCCAGUCUCCCAGUAAACACUAAGAAAUGUUCACAUUAUUUACACAUCCUAGACUGCCUGUCUUAUGGACCAAAUGUUUGUGUUCUCCCCGCAAUUUAUACAUUGGAAUCCUAACCCUCAAUGUAAUAGCAUUAGGUGCUGGGGUCUUUGGGAGGUGAUUGGCUAAUGGACCUGGAGCCCUCAUGAUGGGAUGAGUCCCCUUAUCAGAAGAGACCUGAGAAGGCUUGCUUCCUCUCCCUGUGCUCUUCAUGAUGUGAAGACACAAGAAGACAGCCAUCUGUGGGCCAGGAAGAGGUCCUCACUGGAACCCAACCAUGCUGGCACCCCAAUCUUGAAUUUCUAGCUUCAAGAACUUGGGAAAUAAAUGUAAGCCAGCCAGCUUAUGGAUUUGUUACAGCAGCCUAAGCUAAGUCAGAGUCUCUAGAACAGCUGGUCUGGGGCAGCGGUGAAGGGAGGUGGGUGGGCAUAUGACCCUGCCCUGCACAUGAAUGGCAAAGGCAACUGGAGAGCCUCUCCCUUUUGGUGAGAUCCCCAGUCCACAAGGGCAUGUUCAUCCAUAGCUUUACUUCCCGAAGCAAAUUCUGGUUCCUGGGGCCUGUGCCUCCAUAGAUGGCAUGAUCUGCAGCCUCCUGUGGUAAUUUACCCUCUUCCUAAAUUUCUGAGUCUUCACAUUUAAGCAAUCCUAGUUAGAUAUCCUCUACCUGUAUCCAUGGCUGUCUUUCAGUCACAUUACAGACUCAUUGUGAUGACCAUGUAGGGACAAUGUGAUUUCAGAAACAUGGCCUCAUUUGAUUUUAAUGUAAAUAUAAAUCAGUGAAGCAGAAAAAGAGAAUCUCCAGAAAAACAAGGGAUGAGGCUGUACAGCAAGUUAAAGUGGAAUCAGAACCCAACUGUAGUCCAUUAUUUGUUUCAAUCCUGCUCUUUUCUACCAUAUCACCCAGUUUCCAAAUCGUUCAGCAAAUUGCCAUGGUCAAUGGGAUUAACCUUUCCCUUUUAUUCUCAGGAAAUCUCCCUUGUCCAUUUUGCAAGACUGUGUGAUUCUUUCUACUGUUACAAGGAAUAAAAGCCUUCCUAAAAAGGUCUUUGGUGCCUUUAUUAUUUUACGGAUCAUUUCUGAGGGAAUUAUUGAACUUCAUUAUGUAACCACCCCUUGGGUUCACCUUGCCCACUGCCUAGACAGAGCCAAUUUAUCCAGACAGGAGAAUUGCAAUGGAGAAAGAGUAAUUC
rnacentral:lncRNA from 10 species